UCCAUCGUGAGGUGGAAUCUGAAGGAAGCCUAGGGCAAAUCAAGCGGUAACUAACAGGAACUGGAUGGUAGGCUGUUAUGACUGGGCAACCUAGCCUUAGAUAGAAUAAUUCGCGUUUGAGCGAAGUGCAUAACAGUAUAUCUGGUCGUAGAUAAUAUAGCAUGCUGU
rnacentral:ncRNA from 1 species